GAGAUACACAGAGAGGACCAGGACUGAUGCAAAGAGACCACACCCCCCAUAGCCCCCCAGUCAGCCACGGCCAGACCCACACACAACGAUGCUAGCUACCAAGCAGUCCAAUAAGCACAGUGACACACACACAGGAAGUGGACCUACCCACAGAGCACACACACACAGGAAGUGGACCUCCCCACAGAGCACACACACACAGGAAGUGGACCUCCCCACAGAGCACACACACACAGGAAGUGGACCUCCCCACAGAGCCAGACGGAACAGUGUGUGGCACCAAUACCUCAGACAGUAGCCAAUAGCAGCCUCCUCCUAAGACAGCAGCCAAUAGCAGCCUCCUCCUAAGACAGCAGCCAAUAGCAGCCUCCUCCUAAGACAGCAGCCAAUAGCAGCCUCCUCGUAAGACAGCAGCCAAUAGCAGCCUCCUCCUAAGACAGCAGCCAAUAGCAGCCUCCUCCUCAGACAGCAGCCAAUAGCAGCCUCCUCCUAAGACAUCAGUCUCUGAGGUUCCACUGAGCUCCUGAUCACGAGCCAAUAGCAGCAUCCUCCAAAGGCAGUAGCCAAUAGCAUCACAUUAACCCGCACCAGGGGAAACCACCAGUCGUCUACUCGAUGACCUUUGACCCUCCCCCUCCCGGGCAGUCCUCCGCUGCGCCUCCUGACCCCCGGACCCCUGUGGGGGGACCGGGGGGGUCCCCGUCUGCUAGGGGGUCCUACAGACCCCACUCUCUACUCCAGACCCAGCUGGCCUCCAACAGAUAGGAGUCCUGUUGACACACUCUCACAACCCACACACACACACAUUAACCACACACGCCGAGACACACACACACACACACAGAAAGACGGCAGACACGCUUAAGGCAGCGGUUGCCAGGGAACGGGGAGGGCUGGGGGUUGGGUUCCAGAGCGGCGGUACGGCGAGAGCAUCGCACGCUCCGAGGGAAACCAGUACAUUCAGAAGGGCGUGGCCCGACAUGUGUUAGAGCAUCUCUCCUCAAGCAUCACCAGAGAACCGACGGGAGGAGACACGCAGAGCAUGGUGAAAUGAAGACCGAGAUUAGGACCUUCCAAUCAGGUAUAAAGGCUGUGUGCGUGUCUAUAUCUGAGUGUGUGUGUGUGUGUGUGCAUGAAGGCUUAUAAUGAUGACCACUUCCUGUGAUUCGUUUAAAAGCACUACUUCAGUGAUUGAAUGACAGUUGACCUAAUAUCUUUAGUGAUAGUUGUAUUGAACUCUAUAGUCGUUGUUAUUCUGGGGGGGGGCACCUCUAUUAACCACUCUGCUGCACAAACAGGUAACGACCUGAGAGACAACAGAUUGGGUAGCGCUGCGUUGCCGUGGUGACCUCUUCAGAGUCAGUCCCC
ensembl:lncRNA